rnacentral:lncRNA from 1 species
AACAAGCUGGCAACAGAAUUGGUGGAACUCCGUAAGCUGAAGCUUGCUGAACUAAAGCAAGAAUGUCUUGCUCCUGGUUUGGGACGAAGGGAAUAAAACAAUCAUAUCAACAGGUUCCAGACAUAUGGUAAAGAUCAUGCCCAAGAGGAGGUGAAAGAAAAAGAUACACUGGAAGAUAAAACAGAGGAAGAAGAACCAAAACCCAUGGAACUGUUGGCAAAGAGAAAGGACUCCCUAAAAAAAUUGUUGAUGUGGCAGAAGAGAAGAAGAUGCUAAAAAUUACAUCUGAAAUACCACAGAGAGAGAAUGAAGAAGAGGGCUGAAGGAUUCAAUGUACCUGUGAGAUUGGAGAGUGGGAGAGCU